AAUGAGAAGGCAGAGGAAUUAGAGAGAAGGAAGUAACUGAAUUGGUUACAGAGCGAAGUUCCAGAACCAGGAGAUACGACUUUCCCGUUUGACAGAAAAAACCGAGGGCCCAGCACAUUGGGGGGAGGAAAUCUAGCCAACCUGGAGCCCUGGAAAGUUCCAGAACAGUGGUGAGCUGAGGACCAGGAGCACGAGGGGCCAUGGAACCACGUACAUUCCGCGAAGCAGCCCUGGCCCGGGAAGGAGAGCCAGCUUUUCACAGGGGAUGAUUUUCGAGGGGAAGUGCCACACGGAGCCAAAUACCCGAACGGGGGACGGAAGACGGGGAUCUUCGGAUGUUAUCAAACGUGUUCAAAGGUCUUCGAGAGUUUUCCCCCAUCCACCAAUGACGGUCCUCCAUACAGAUCCUCACAUGGAUGCAUGUGCAGUCCUGCGUACUGUAUACUUUUGUUGCAGUCAUUAAAAGAUUCUUUUCCAUCAUA